rnacentral:rRNA from 1 species
CCUACGGGGGGCAGCAGUGAGGAAUAUUGGUCAAUGGGCGCGAGCCUGAACCAGCCAAGUCGCGUGAGGGAUGACGGUCCUACGGAUUGUAAACCUCUUUUGCCGGGGAGCAAGCGUGCGUUCGUGAACGCGCGUCGAGAGUACCCGGAGAAAAAGCAUCGGCUAACUCCGUGCCAGCAGCCGCGGUAAUACGGAGGAUGCGAGCGUUAUCCGGAUUUAUUGGGUUUAAAGGGUGCGUAGGCGGGAUGCCAAGUCAGCGGUAAAAUGCGGUGCUCAACGCCGUCGAGCCGUUGAAACUGGCGUUCUGGAGUGGGCGAGAAGUAUGCGGAAUGCGUGGUGUAGCGGUGAAAUGCAUAGAUAUCACGCAGAACUCCGAUUGCGAAGGCAGCAUACCGGCGCCCUACUGACGCUGAGGCACGAAAGCGUGGGUAUCGAACAGGAUUAGAUACCCCAGUAGUC